GACCUGCGGAAGGAUCAUUACCACACCAAAAAACACCCCACGUGAAUGUAUUCUGUAUGAGGCUUGUGCUGCUCACCAGCGGCUAGCCGAAGGUUUCGCAAGAAGCCGAUGUCUAUUUGAAUCCUUUUAACAUACUACUGAUCAAAACUGCAGACAGAAAUGCCUGCAUUAAAUUGAAAUACAACUUUCAACAGUGGAUGUCUAGGCUCGCACACCGAUGAAGAACGCUGCGAACUGCGAUACGUAAUGCGAAUUGCAGAAUUCAGUGAGUCAUCAAAAUUUUGAACGCAUAUUGCACUUCCGGGUUAGUCCUGGGAGUAUGUUUGUAUCAGUGUCCGUAAAAACAAAAUUGUUUCAUUUCUUCAUUGAGAUGAAGCAGAAUGUGAAGCGUCUUGCUUUGGCAAGUCCUUUCAAACGACGGUACCUGUGCGUCCUUGUGAGAUGUAUUACUUAAAGGUAUGCAUGAGCUUACUUCGAGAGUCUUGUGUGAUGACACACAACAUUCAAAGAAAGAGCAAAUCGCGGUAGUUUUGCUUGUGCUUCGGUACGAGUGGACACAUAUUGCUUUUUGUUAUUUUGGCGAGGUUGUUGUCAGAGCGCAAGAUGCGGACUAAGAUUGUGUAUGCUGGUGCAUCUCUUGACGUACGGAGGCAAAUUGGGAACUAAAUCCAAUUUGGACCUGAUAUCAAACAAGACUACCCGCUGAACUUAAGCAUAUCAAUA
rnacentral:rRNA from 1 species